rnacentral:ncRNA from 1 species
AAAUCCUGUCUGGCUAAGGUCUAACCAAACCACCAGUAGCGAGUUUUGUGCUUAUGGCAGUAAUGUUAUGAGUAAAGCGUAAACAGCAAGGAAGUAGGGUUAAAAGGCGAUUCAGCCCCGAAAUUUUACAAUUAAAAGGCAGACGUGCUAAUUACCGCGGAAUGCAACAUUUGAAUAAUCGAUAUGGUGAGAGUAUUCAAACUUUUACGGGGUCAA